UACGUAGGGGGCAAGCGUUGUCCGGAUUUAUUGGGCGUAAAGAGCGUGUAGGCGGCCUGACAGGUCUGCUGUGAAAACUCGAGGCUCAACCUCGAGAUGUCGGCGGAAACCGUCUGGCUAGAGUCCGGAAGAGGAGAGUGGAAUUCCUGGUGUAGCGGUGAAAUGCGCAGAUAUCAGGAAGAACACCUAUGGCGAAGGCAGCUCGCUGGGACGUUACUGACGCUGAGACGCGAAAGCGUGGGGAGCAAACAGG
rnacentral:rRNA from 1 species